rnacentral:rRNA from 1 species
UACGUAGGUGGCAAGCGUUGUCCGGAUUUACUGGGCGUAAAGAGCGCGCAGGCGGUCUUUUAAGUCUAAUGUGAAAUCCCUCGGCUCAACUGAGGAACUGCACUGGAAACUGACGGGCUUGAGUUCGGGAGAGGGAAGCGGAAUUCCGGGUGUAGCGGUGAAAUGCGUAGAUAUCCGGAGGAACACCGGUGGCGAAGGCGGCCUCCUGGACCGAAACUGACGCUGAGGCGCGAAAGCUAGGGGAGCAAACGGG